UUUUUACUAAAUAACUAUAUAAAAUCCCCAUGAUACACAUAUACUUCAGGUUCGCGAGCCUAAUCGAGUCGAAUAUUGCUGCGUUCAUGUUCGGUUCAUUUAGUAGACGAAUCGAACUCGAACGAGCCUUUACCGAGUCGAGCCUCGAACAGUUCACGAACGGCUCAGUUCAUUUACAGCCCUACCCCCUACGAAC